rnacentral:rRNA from 1 species
GGCGAAGACGGGCCAGCGGACGGGGGAAGUCGUAGGUGGCGAGCGUUGUCAGGAAUGACUGGGCGUAAAGGGCUGGUAGGUGGGUUGGCGCGUUGGUCGUGAAAACUCACAACUCAAGUGUGGGCGUGCGGGCGAUACGGGCAGACUGUAGUACGGCAGGGGAGACUGGAAUUCCUGGUGUAGCGGUGGAAUGCGCAGAUAUCAGGAGGAACACCGGUGGCGAAGGCGGGUCUCUGGGCAGUAACUGACGCUGAGGAGCGAAAGCGUGGGGAGCGAACAGGAUUAGAUACCCCUGUAGUC